rnacentral:misc_RNA from 1 species
GAUGAAGAACGUAGUGAAAUGCGAUAAUUAAUGUGAAUUGCAGAAUUCAGUGAAUCAUCGAGUCUUUGAACGCACAUUGCGCCCCCUGGUAUUCCGGGGGGCAUGCCUGUCCGAGCGUCAUUGCUGCCCUCAAGCACGGCUUGUGUGUUGGGCUUCCGUCCCUGGCAACGGGGACGGGCCCAAAAGGCAGUGGCGGCACCAUGUCUGGUCCUCGAGCGUAUGGGGCUUUGUCACCCGCUCCCGUAGGUCCAGCUGGCAGCUAGCCUCGCAACCAAUCUUUUUAACCAGGUUGACCUCGGAUCAGGUAGGGAUACCCGCUGAACAUAAGCAUAUCAAGAAGCGGAGGA